rfam:Hepatitis C virus isolate QC115, complete genome
AYGACCCCCGGCGAAGAUCCCGCAAUUUGGGUAAGGUCAUCGAUACCCUUACUUGUGGAUUUGCCGACCUCAUGGGGUAC